CAAAGAUACAGUAAGAUUAACAACACACGCCAAUCUGCAAGUGUUGUGGGUGGAUGCACUUUAAAAGAUUAGUUCACUUGUGGGAAAACGAUUUGAAAGAUACUUUGCAAACAUUAAGAUCUCUUAUCAUUCGUUGAUUAUUUAUUACCAAGUUGGGUUCAUUCAAAAAGCUGGCAAAUUAUGAUAGAGGACAAAAGACGAAUUGAUUGGGUUUCUCUUCUGAUGGCGGAUAUCAUGCGAGCAUACUGUUGAAUGAACAAAAGUUCCCAAUUCAAGCUGACGAAUUGUCUUUGAAAAAGGUUCGCCUACAUCGAACCUCCAAAAAGUACAAAAGCUGGCAUCAAAGAAUCAUAAAGUGCUUUUACCUUUACCAUUUUGACUUGAAUUAUCGGCGGACUUGUUUCCACUUGAUUCAAGAAUUUUGCAAAAAAUAACGCGCGAGAAUUGAGCUGAAUCCCAUCGAAUCUCAUUUAAAACUAGUUCUACUUUUCAGUAUCCCAACUGGACUUACCCAAAAUGCCACCUGGGGUUUUCAUGUUUUAUUUUUGUGGAUUUUUCGAGAAAUUAGCCAAUAAUUAAGAUUAUGGUAAUUUAUUUUUGGCCGGAAAAUGUAUCUAAUUUUAAUGAAUUAUUCGAAAUGUAUCUUUACGCGCUUUACUUAACUAAGGUAUAUUAGAUAAGGAAUAAUUCCAUGUUGCAUAUUCAUAUCUUUGUCGAUUUCUGUUUAC